GGGGAUGGGGGGGGGGCAAAGUUGGCUGGGCCCCAGCGAGCGCUGAGGUCGGGCUGGAGGAGCUCCGAGGCUCCCGGCCGGGCGCACGGGGCGGUGGGUGUGUCCGGGUCCCGGAGGAUGUCCGAGGCAGGGGCAGGUUCUGCGGGCUGGGUCCCUGGGGAUGCUUGUGUGUGCGUGUGCGCGCGUGUGCGCGUGUGUGUGCCUCCGCGCUGAUCCCUUGGGUGCCCGGGGGCUGGGGAUGUGACUGCGAAGACUCCCCCCUUUCCCUCAGAGAAGAGAUUAGCCCCCAAACCCUUCCACGUCCUGAUUGGUCCAUUCCCUCGCUUUGCUUGCUUCCUGCACUCCCCCCAUACCUCAAAUGUCCAUGAGGGAGAUCCCUGAGGCUGGGACUGGGUGUGGCCCUCACUUCCCCUCGGGCAGGAGGGGGAAGCUUCCUUCCCGUUCUCCUCUGCCCCAAUGGGGUGGGGUUGAGGAAUACAGCACCAAGUCCCGGCCUGAAAUUAAGUGCAGAUGCUGCCGGAGAAGGAGCUUGGGAUUCCACCAGAGAGACUCUUUCUUCUACUUAGGAUUUUCUGACAUUGGCCCCCUGGGGCGCCUCUUUGGGCCUCAGUUUACCCAUCUGUAAAAUCAGCUUCAGGCUCCUCUCCUCUUUUAAAUCCUCAGAUAUUCCUCCCAUUUCAGCACCAUCUUCUCCCUCGGAUCCCUUCGGCUGCCUGUGGAACUAGGGGGAGCCUUGAAGAGUGGAGAGAGGGACCCCCCCCCCCAUGCUCAGCCAUCAUGCCCCUGGGGAGAGACUGCUAGUAGGGAGUUCAGUUCCUUAUACUUGUAUCCUCCGGGCUGGGCCCUUCAUGGAUACUUGUUGCUGAAUUGAUUGACCGGAAAUUUAGGAAAUGGAAGCUCGGGGAAAUUGAGGAGGGAUGGCUGGGGAUUGUGGGCCCUAGAAUCCUAGUUCUGGGAAGGACUCUCUGAAGCCAUUUAGCUGAAGCCGAACCAUUUUAGAGAUGAGAAAACUGAGUCCCAGAGGUUACCCAGUGUGGAUGGGUGGAAUAAAAGAGGAAGGGAGGGGAACUGGGACGGCGACCAUUGACCAGGUGGAGGGACUGGGGCUCUGGCUGGGGGAGGACGCAGAACUUGGGAAUGUCCGUGGGAUGGUGCAAGGAGCAGGAAUCUCAGGACCGUAACCCACAGGAAAGUCAGCCUAACUCCGAGCCUCGUCUUACACUUGGGAAAUGGGCUCGGUGAUAUUUCUGUCGCUUCCCUCCUGGGAGUAAUGAAGCGUUUUGUGUGCUUGAAGUGUCCUUCUACUUUGUGAUCACGUCAUGAUCAGGAGCAGGUCUCCUCCUCCUCCUCCUCCUCCUUCCUCCCCCUCAGUUUCCCUCUGUUUCUGGGAGGCUGUGGUGGAUGGAGGUCACGGCUGGCAGGAGGAUGAGCGGGGUGAGAAGAUAAGGGCCCACCUCCCUGUGAAGUUGGGAAGGCCUGACGCGGUCUUGGGCCCUUCCCAUAGAGCUGAAUGUUCGGAGGAGUUUGGGGGUGCAUGGGACGAUUGCGGGCGCGGGGGCGGGAGAGAAGCCGGCAGUGGGGCCCUGGGGCGUUGAGAACCGAGCCCAGGGGUGGCCUUGGUGGGGAGCGGAGGGUUUGUCAGCAGCAGGGCAGGGGAUGCGGGUGCCCGGCGGUAACAGAUGGGUCCCCACGGCCCAGCUCUGAAAUGGCCAAAGUUGGCAGAGGGAGGGCCCCACCCUGAGCCGGAGGAGCUGGUUGGGGUGGUUGGAGUGCGGCUGUGGGGGCGGAGGGGGUGCGGGUGCUGGGCGUGGCUCUCACCCUCCCCGGCCAUGGGAGCCGCCUCAGGGACCCAGAGAAGCCCCAGUGGGACUCAGAUGGGAUCUCCUGGGCUGAUUCAUUCAAACCUUGUGGCGUCCUCCCUCCCCUUGGCUUCCCCUUCCUCUCGCUGGGAGAAUGCUGGUUAUGUGAACCCUGGCCUGGACACGGGAGGUGGCAGGUGGGGGCAGGAAGCCGGGGCGGGGACCAGCGGCCGGGGCAAAAGCGGCUCUGAGCCUCCCCCCCCAGCUCCUUCUUUACGGGGGAGGGGGGCAUGUGGGUAUCAUGUUUGUUGUGCAGCUUUCGACUGCUGUGCAUGAGGCUGCAGCCAGAGGCUGGGCGUGCCUCCUUGCGGGAGGCUGAGGACGUGCUCAGCCAGCCACGGGGUGGGCGAGCGGCAGGGACUGUGAGGGAUGGGGGACGGCGGGGAACCCAUCGGACUCGGGAACCACGGGAUAGCGGGCUGGCCUCGGCCCGUCGGAAGGAUGUACGUCACCGAACGUGGGGACGGCAGGGAGCCUAGAACACAGAACGUGGAAUGGCAGGCUCAGGAUAGGGAAUGUAGGGAAACAUGCUCUUCCCUUCUUUUUUUGCCGAGGUGGGGGACAACAGGUGCCCAAUAUUACACAUGCUCUUAGAUGUGGGUAGGUGUUGGUUGGUUUUGGCGAAUCAUUCCGCUCCCUCCUCCCCCUUUAUUCUUUUUUUAUUAUUAUUUUUAUUCUUUUUUAUUUUUUAAAUAACUUUUUAUUGACAGACCCCUUUAUUCUCAUAAGGAAUGGCUCCCUAGGGGAGGGAGGGGGAGUUCCAGAUUUAUAAAUCAAGGUGAUUAAAAAGUUGAACAAAAUUAAAAACCAAAAGUGUGUAUGUCUCCUAUCACAGCCGGGAGAGAACAGAAUGUAGAACGAAUGUCAGUGGCUUAGAACGCAAGAAGUGCGAGGAAGCUUCUGCUCUAGAACAUGAACCGUCGGAGCCUUAGAACAUGGAAUGUCAGAGCUGGGAGGGAGCUUAGAAAGAGCAAUGAAUGUCAGUCUUAGAACACAGGAAGUAAGAAGGAACUUCUGAAGAACAUCAGUGAUUUAGAACAUGGUUUAUCAGAGCUGCAGCUUAGAAUGUAGAACAUAGAACAUGGGAUGUAGGAGAUGGGAGGGAACUUGCAGAUGGAUGAUUCUAGUGCUCCCGGUUUACAGAAGGGAGACUUGCUGGCCUCCCAUUGGGUGCUCAGCUGUCAGUCUACCCAAGAGGGAGGGGCUGGGCCCAGCCAAAUGGCUACUUUGUAUCUGUGAGUCUGUGUCCGGCUGUUACUCAGUAUCUGGUUCUGUGUAACUGUUGCUCCCUGUGUAGUGUGUUACCAUGUAGCAGGGGAUGAGUCACCCGUCCUGGGUGGGAAGCAAGUGUGUGUGUCCUUGCACUUUGUGCUGGUCAGCCACGGGCUGCCCGUGUGGCCCCUCCAGGGGAGGUGAGCCUAGAAGGAGGCCCGUGUGCCAAGGCGUGCUGUGCACAGGGGCCGGUGGGGCGGGCGUCCUGCCGGGUCCCCAGGGGCUGGAGAGGAGGAUCUAGGGAAGGGGAAGUGCGCCAGCUGAUCCUCAUGGAGGAGCUUGGGGGAGGCGCUGUGUCCUGGCCUAGAAGUCUAAGGGGCCUCUCUCUGGUCAGGGCCCUUCCAGCUGGGCCCCGGGAAGUUUGGGGCCGCCGCUGGGCCAGCACUUGGCACAGAAGGCCCGGACUUGGGGCAAGUGCAGGGUCUUGGGGAACCCGACAGAAAGUUCAGUUUUAGAGCGUCCUUGUCACUGAGGAGCCGCAGGUCCUGAAGGCAACGGUGCUCUAAAAAUGCCAUGUUGGAGAAUUUCCGCUGGCAAAGGUUCAGUAGUGAAGCUGUGAAAGGGGUGAGACUCCUGUCCCAGAGAGGCAGCAAGGGGAAUGUCUGCUCUCCUGCUGCCAGGGCCUUCUCACAGGGAGCCACGGGGGAAGUGAGAGGCUAGGGAGCAGAGCAGCGGGAGGGGGGGGAGGGAGGUGGAGCCCGCUAGCUGGUCGGGGUGACCGCCGGGGAGGCAGGUGUGGAGCGAGCUGCCUGGGAAGGCCUGUGGGGAGGAAAGGGAAGGGGGAAAACCCAGCAAGGCUGGGAGGGUGGAAAACUUCCUCCCCAGUGCGAGCUGUGGGCAGGUCCGGUUGUUUCAGUCCCCUAGGGCAGGGAAGGAGGGGAACCAGAAUGGUGGCUCUCAGCAGCAAGGGAAAAGCUGGUAGACGCGUAGCCAGGCCGUGGGUGACCAAGCUGGCAGGGACACGAGGGGAGGGGGAGACGCUUUAGCCAAGAGUGGGAACCAGGCCGAGGGGGACCAAGCUGGCACACGAGGGAAGGGGGAGACGCUUGGCCAAGAAGGGGAACCAGGCUUUCAUCCCAAGCCUUUGAGCAGAAAGUAACUGCUGAAUCAGUACCCCCAGGCCUAGUGAGUGGCACAGAGCAGGUUACAGUCAUUUCUGGCACUGAGAUUUGCUACACAAGCUGGGGGCUACUUGGCAGAAGGUGGCCAUUAAAACAGUCAUUAAGAAUGGGCAUAGAUGUCGGGGAGGAAGGUGCCCUAUGGGAGGAAUGGAUGCCCAUGGGAAAAUGCAUGUGCUUUAUGCCCACGUGAAGGUAUGGAGUCUUUAUGAGUGUGGAAACAGGAAGACUUUGUGGACAGUUCAUAAAUGCCAGUCUGGGCACUUAGCAGCCGUAUGACUUGCCUUGGCCCCUUCCCUUCUCUAGGUUGAGGUUCCUCAGCUGUACAAGUGAUCUCGGAAGGCCCCUUCUCAUUUAAAUCUGCCAUCUUAGCCUCCGAGUGGGAUCUCCUAAAGCCCUGGCAGUUCCCUGCCCUCCACCUUCCUGUCGCAGUGGUGGUGAGGGCCUUUUCUUGGAUCAGACCCCUGGUUUUCCUCCCCCACUGCGAGCAUUGGCUCUCCUUCUUGGCGGCUCACCAGGACACCGACCUCCUUUGGCUUGGAGGCUUGUCAGAUCCUCCUACCAUUGUAAACUGGAAAAACACAGCCAGGCAUCUCCAUGUGGAUGAUGCUUUCUCCAAAGGGAAAGUUGUCAUACCUGUAGAAUGCCUGCCAGCAAUCGGUCUUUCAAUCACCAAGUAUUCAAUCAACAAGCUCCUCCCUCGUGGCAGAUCUGCCAGAUACUGGGAAUCCAAAGGCAAAAUUGUCAGUCUCUGCCUGGGGAAGCUCUCGUUCUGUCUGAAGGAGUCCAGGGUAUGAAUCCCCUUGUAGGGUCAUAUGACCUCAAAAGUGUUCUUAUCUCCUUAGCCCGGGAUUAAGCAUCCUUUCUCUCCUUGGGGAUUGUUUCUCUAAGGACUUGGCGCAAAGGUGAAUGCUCUGUGGCCUUCACCUCAUCCCAUGGCCAUCACAUCUGGUACUGGGCUGGACCUUAGAUUGAAAAUCAAGCUGGAAGGAACCUUAAAUGACAUCUGGCUCUAAUAUACUAUUUUACUGGUGGGGAAACUGAGGCACACAGUUAAGUGACUUGCCCAGGGUCACACAGCUAGUAGGUGUCUGAGGUCAGAUUUGAACUUGGGAAGUUGAGUGAGCCUGAUUCCAGGUAAGGUGCUAUAGGCACUGUGGUACCCCCUAGCUGUUGAUACUAUUUUACAGAUUUGGAAACUGAAUCCCAGCAAGGUGGCCCCGCAGUCCUGUGGCUGCCCGUGGCUGCCUUCCACAAGUGGUGGGUGGUCGAGCUGCAAUUUGAAUCGGGCCCUUGUGGAAAAUGUGCUAACUGGAUCCCACCAGCUGGGCAGGGGGCCGACUCCCCCACAGUGGGAAUUCCUCAGAUCCCUGGCUUUGGGCAUUUUCCUGUACUUGCCUGCUGGGGUCCAGGGGGAACCUGGAGGCUGACUGUGAAACUUAAGCCUUGGGCAUGAUCUCAGAAAAAGAGGAUUCAAAUCCUGACUCUCCCUACACUAGCCGUGUGGCCCUGGGCUGUUGGCAAACCUCUCUUGGGCUGAGGUUUUCUAUCAAAAUGAAAACAACUCGCACUGUUUAUUUUCUGGUGUCAUCAGGCAGAAAGCGCUGCGUAGACGGCACAUCGAUAUGUAAGGGAUGAUGAUAAUGAUAACGUAAUAAUUAUGAUCAUCUUUGAUGUUAGGUUGAGGUCAGGGGUCUGGUUUGUUGCUUCAAGUUCCUAAAGGCCUGAGUGGAUAUUUUUAUUUUUUAAAUUAUUUUUUAGCUUUUAUUUAUUUUUUCUGGUUAUACAUGUAUAUUAACUCUAUUAAUUUAUUUAAUAACUUUUUAUUGCCAGAACCCAUGCCAGGGUAAUAUAUUAACUUUAAAAUACACAUUUCUUUAUAAAUCAUGUUGAGGGAAAAAUCAGAACAAAAGGGGGGAAAAACCACAGGAAAGAAAAAAAAAAAAAACCAACCCCAGAAAAAAGCAGUGAACAUGGUGUACGGAUAUUUUUUUAAAGUCCUGCAUCUUGUUCUCUGAACUGACAUUUGAGGUCAGCCCAGGAAUGUUGGGGACACCUUCCAGCCUUUCCUUGGGGGGGCGGGUUCCAUAGUUCUAGCUUGGCUUCGGGUCUGAAAGAUUUCCAACCCAUCAGCACCUGGAUUGUGGAGACAGUGGGCCAGAUUUUCCGGGACUUGCCAUUUCUUUCUGCCCUGCGCCACCCCCACCAGCUGGACCAGACAGGGCUGUUCUUCCUGGCUGGGAGGGUGGGCUGACAUUUGCCCGAAUUUGUAAGGGCCAGGACCUGUGCCGCCUUCUCUCUGGUACUUCGUGGAUCGUCCUACGCCUUUUUCCUUCUGAGACCCGUCCAGUCUUCCAGGGUUCUUGUGUACAUCUCAAUUCUCAUUUUUCUAUGUGCUGCCAUCUUAGUGGGAUUGCUUCUUCUCUUUCUUUCCCUCUUUCUCUUCCUCCCUCUCUGGCUUUAUCUCUCCAUCUCUAUUCCCUUCUUUUCCUUUUUGUCAGCUCUGUCUCUGUGUUGGAUAUUUUGUCACACACACACACACACACACACACACACGCACACACACUGUUCUCUUUUCAAAUGUCUAUUUGUGUGUGUGAUUCUUUCUCCUUUUUCUCCCUCUGAUUUUGUGUCUCCUGAGUGUGUGUGUGAAUAAACAUUUGUUAGAACCACGGACCAGGAGCUGGGGAUAUAAAGGCGGGUAAAGUCCCAGCUCUUGGGAAAUCACAGUCUAAUGGAUGAGAUGAACCGUAAACAAUUGUGUCCAAACAAACUCCGGCCAGGAUUCGUUGGAGAUAAUCAGUGGGGGGCAGGUGCUAGAAUUAAGGGGAGCCAGGAAAAGCUGGAUUUUAGCUGCACCUUGAAAGAGAGGGGGGAGGCGCCAGUGGUCUGAGGGGUGGUCUGAGCCUUCCGGGCUAGGGGGUGGCUAGGGAGAAUGCCCAGAGCUUCCGGGACAGCCAGAAGGCUGGACCAAAAAGUGCAUGGGGUAAAGAAGAGGGGUUGGAGCUGUAAGAAGACUGGGAGGGGCAGGUGAGAAAGAGCUCUGACUGGCUCUGGGGGUGGGCAUGUACCCUGCACUGCUGAGUGUUGGAAAGAAGGCUACAUUUGGGCCUGGGAGGACUCUGGAUUUAAGCUCUGGCUCUGGCCCAGACAAGCUGUGCAGAGGCCAAUCUCUGCCCUCCCUGAACCACAGUCUUCGUUCAACGAGACUUUUGACUCCCUUCCUCACGGGGCUUGUCAGGGGCUCUGUGACACUGGACUGUGGGAGCUGGGAGGGACCCAAGGCGCCAGGUGUCGACAGGGAGGGACAGGGCAGCCCAGCAAGGUGAGAGGUCUCCAAUCUGCAUGGGGCCGGCACCUGGGGGCUCAGCCGGGAUCGUUCCCAAGCCGUUCUCUCUACCACAUUGGCCAGGCCACAGGCUUUGCCCCCGGCCACAAUACCGGCCAGGCUGGGCUGACUGCCCCCUGGGCCUGGCACCUCCUCAUUAGCUGUCAGGGCCCUCCCCCUCUGCCUUCAGUUUCCUCAUCUCUAACAGGACCAGGUAGAUUCGCUGGCGUGGGGGCCGUGUGUUUAUACAUCCGGGGGUGGGCAUGAGGGUUUUUAGCAUGCAUUUCUCUGGCACUGGCUCUUUCCCUUUUCUGCGUCCCUCCGUGGGUGCCAGCUGUCUCCCCUGUCCCUCUCCCUCUGGGCCAAGGGUUCUGCUCCCUUCUAGUGCUCUGUCCUGUGGCCAUCUUUGUGGGAUUUCCUCCUCUUUCUUUCCCUUUCUCUUCCUCCCUCUCUAUCCCUUCUUUCCUUUUUCUCAACUCUGUUUCUGUCUCUCUGAUCUCCCCAAUGUCAAACCAGUUUGUUCACACACACACACACACACACACACACACACACACACACACGCAUAGAGAUACAGACACAGAAUGUUCUCUUCCCCUUCUGCACAUAUCAGACAUCAGCCCACAGGAGAACAAAGCGAUAGCGGCCCCAUUCCUCCCCCCCUCCCCCAAGAGAUACAAAGACUUCCACAGAGAGGGGAGAGAGCUUUACCCGAAGGGAAAUUGGGACAUCCUUGGGAGAUCCAUGCAAAGAGAAACACAGAAGUGAGGAAUGGCUGCCCAGAGGGGAAAAGCAAGAGGGAGAGACAGAAAAGAAAGGAGAGACACAAGGGAAAGAGGGGAGUCAGAGAGAGAGAGAGAGACAGAGACAGAGAAAUACAGACAGAGAAACAGAGACAGAGAGAGACAGACACACAGAGAGAAAAAGAGAAAGCUACAGAGAUACAGAGACAUAGACAGAGAUAGAGAAAAGAGAGACAAGAAGAGAGACUGAGACAGAGAUUGGGAGUGUUUUGGGACAAGGCCCCUCCCUCAUGGGCUGCAUGUGAAAUCCUCUGGGCCCCUCUCCUUCCUGGGCAUGGGGUGGGUGAGGGGCACAGAGGUCCUUCUCCUGCCUUGCCCCCACAUGUGCGCCUGGGAAUUCCCUCCCUGGGUGUGUCCCUGUGGGGUGUGUGGUUCCCCUUGGGCCUGGUCUCUUUCUCAAGGUGUGAUCCAGAUGUUCCAUCUGCUCACUCCACCCCCUGCUGGGACCAUGGCUCUGGCUGUAGUUUGGGUCUUGGGGCUCCCUCAUCAGCUCCCCGCUCCCCACUGAGCUCUAGGGACUUUGCUUGGGUCAGUGGGGGGGGGGAGAGCCCCGCCUUUGGAGAUCUCUAUUUUCUAACCUCUCUCUCCAGCAAAUCCCUUCUGCUCCUUUCCCUUCGGCAUUCAUUCGUUCGUUCGUUCAUUCAUUCAUUCAUCAAACAUUUAUUACGCGCUUCUUCCUAUGUGCCAGCCCUGCUUGAGGUGCCAGGGAUACCUGGAUCAAAAUAAC
ensembl:lncRNA